rnacentral:rRNA from 1 species
CAAACUGGAGAUGGCGACCGGCGCACGGGUGAGUAACACGUAUCCAACCUGCCGAUAACUCGGGGAUAGCCUUUCGAAAGAAAGAUUAAUACCCGAUGGCAUAAUAGAACCGCAUGGUUUGAUUAUUAAAGAAUUUCGGUUAUCGAUGGGGAUGCGUUCCAUUAGGCAGUUGGUGGGGUAACGGCCCACCAAACCUUCGAUGGAUAGGGGUUCUGAGAGGAAGGUCCCCCACAUUGGAACUGAGACACGGCCCAAACUCCUACGGGAGGCAGCAUG